AGCUUAGAGCAGAGUUUCUCAAGAGCUGCAAUACUGGCAUUUGAGUCAAGUCGUUCUUUAUUGUUGGUGGUGGAGGGGGCACCCUGUAUAUUGUAGGACGUUGGGCAGCAUCUCUGACUUCUACCUACUAGAUGCCAGUAUCUCAGUUUUCUUAAAAGACUUUUUUUUUUUUUUUUUUUUUUUUGAGAUGGAGUCUUGCUGUGUUGCCUAGGCUGGAGUGCAGUGGCACCAUGUCGACUCACUGCAACCUCCGCCUCCCCGGUUCAAGCGAUUCUCCUGCCUCAGCCUCCUGAGUAGCUGGGAUUACAGGUGAGCACCACCAUGCCCAGCUAAUCGUAAAAGACUUUUCAUAAAACUUCAGAACUCCUUAAAAACUAGUGAAUAGCCAAGGUGAAGAAAGCCCUCAGGCUUCUGACUUUAGACCCCAAUCCCUGGGACUCCCACACUCAGCAAAGAAAGCUGGGUGCCUGCACCCUGGAUCUCUGAGCAAACCUGUCUUAUGGCUGUGGGCAACUCAGGAACAUGAAUUAGCACGAGAAUCUGGAGUUUUUCUUUCCUUUUCUGGGUCUCACUCUGUCACCCAGGCUGGAGUGCAGUGGCGCAGUCAUGGCUCCCUGUAACCUCAACCUCUCAGAC
rnacentral:lncRNA from 1 species